rnacentral:tRNA from 1 species
GAAAUGUUAACACGGCGGAAGAGCGCCUGUUUCCUUACCCGGAGGUCCCUGGAUCGAAACCAGGACAUGCUA